AUACGGAGGGUGCGAGCGUUAAUCGGAAUUACUGGGCGUAAAGCGUACGUAGGCGGUUGGUUAAGUUAGAUGUGAAAGCCCCGGGCUUAACCUGGGAACUGCAUUUAAAACUGGCGAACUAGAGUUGAGUAGAGGGGAGUGGAAUUUCAGGUGUAGCGGUGAAAUGCGUAGAGGUCUGAAGGAACACCAGUGGCGAAGGCGACUCCCUGGACUCGAACUGACGCUGAGGUACGAAAGCGUGGGUAGCAAACGGGAUUAGAAACCCUAGUAGUCC
rnacentral:rRNA from 1 species